UGUGCCUUCUUUGUCACCGGACAUUUGCCCACCAGAGCUUACAGUCUCAGCACCUGCUUCGGCAUCUAAUCAUAAAGCAGCUUCAGGCACCAAACCAAAAGUAGCACUGGAUCCCCAUAUCCGGCUCAAGGAUGGGAAAUUGGAACUGGUUCUGCAGUAUCUUGGUCUGGAUGUGAGCGAGGAGAAGAAGAGGCAGUUACGGCAAAGCUUGACCACAGACUCGCAGGGGACAGUGGCCUAUGGAGAUCUUC
rnacentral:lncRNA from 1 species